AGCGGCGGACGGGUGAGUAACGCGUGGGUAACCUGCCUCAUACAGGGGGAUAACAGUUAGAAAUGACUGCUAAUACCGCAUAAGACCACGGUACCGCAUGGUACAGUGGUAAAAACUCCGGUGGUAUGAGAUGGACCCGCGUCUGAUUAGGUAGUUGGUGAGGUAACGGCCCACCAAGCCGACGAUCAGUAGCCGACCUGAGAGGGUGACCGGCCACAUUGGGACUGAGACACGGCCCAG
rnacentral:rRNA from 1 species